ACUCCUACGGGAGGCAGCAGUGGGGAAUUUUGGACAAUGGGCGAAAGCCUGAUCCAGCAAUGCCGCGUGAGUGAAGAAGGCCUUCGGGUUGUAAAGCUCUUUUGUCAGGGAAGAAACGGUGAAAGCUAAUAUCUUUUGCUAAUGACGGUACCUGAAGAAUAAGCACCGGCUAACUACGUGCCAGCAGCCGCGGUAAUACGUAGGGUGCAAGCGUUAAUCGGAAUUACUGGGCGUAAAGCGUGCGCAGGCGGUUUUGUAAGUCUGAUGUGAAAUCCCCGGGCUCAACCUGGGAAUUGCAUUGGAGACUGCAAGGCUAGAAUCUGGCAGAGGGGGGUAGAAUUCCAUGUGUAGCAGUGAAAUGCGUAGAUAUGUGGAGGAACACCGAUGGCGAAGGCAGCCCCCUGGGUCAAGAUUGACGCUCAUGCACGAAAGCGUGGGGAGCAAACAGGAUUAGAUACCCGAGUAGUCCC
rnacentral:rRNA from 1 species